AGAAUACGUUGACUCUCUCACGUCAAACGUCAAAAAAAAAAAUAAAAACAAUUAUAAAUAUAAAUAAAUAAAUAAAUAAAUAUUGUUGAUAAUUAAAAAAAAAAUAUAUAUAUAUCGAUUAUUAGAAUAAGAAUUUAAAUACAUCAACAAUAUUCACAAUAAUAAUAUUUUAUAAAUACAUCAAGUAGUAAUGAUUUACUUGAUUUAUUGGGUGGUCUUGAUCUUGGUAUAACAAAUGAUAAUAAUACUAGACAUACUGGACAAAUUCAAACACCACAAUUAUUUCAAUCAACUGGUAAUAAUCAAUUGGAUGGAAAAAUUAGUUACAAAAGCUAUAUUGAAUUUGUUGUACCAAAAAAAAAUAUCCGUACAUUAGAAGAAAAUAUUCAAAUUGCAGCACGACAAGUUGCAUCAAAUCUUGGUGGUAAUGUUGAGCAAAAAAAAAGAUAGUUGUUGGGAAAAGUAUUUUCAGCUGGAGUUCCAGGAUUAAAAGAAACACUUGAGCAUGGUUUAAAGAAUACUUUGGACUUAAUCAAGAAUUACAUGAAGAGCUCAAUUGUAUUCAAGAUGAUUUACUAGUUAAUGUGUCUACAGAUAAAAAUCUUUUUGCAAUUACUGGAUCAUAAAUUAAUUUUGUAAAUAUCAUUUGGAAAAUAUAUACUAUUUGAGUAAUUUUUGGAAAAAACCAUUUGAAACACCAAAUACAUUGGAAGUCAAUAUGUUGGUAGUUGAUUCAAAUGAUACAACAUUAACUUAUUUUUUAUUUCAAGCUGCUGUUGCAAGAAUAUUUCAAUUACAAGUAUUGCCACCGUCAAGCAAUAUUACAUUACCAUCUGGACAAGUAACACAAGUACUAAAAGUAAAUCAAAUUUAUCAUAUUUAAUCUAUCUACAUGAGUCCACAAACAACAAAUGAUUAAGAAAAAGAUUUAAUUAUACAAAAUAGAAUACGUCAAUUAAAUUGAGUAACAUGUCAUAAGCUGAGAAAAAAAAAGGUGACAGAAGAAAAUUUACAUUACCAGAAAUAACAUAAACAAGUAUUAGUGAUCUUUUAGUAAAACAUCCAUAUUUUAUUUUAACUAUCCAACAAAUUUAGCUAAUUUUUUGGUAUCAUUUUUUGACAAUAAACGUCCAUCAGUUCGUGAAAAAGUAUUUAAUUGUGUAAAAAAUAUAUUUAAAGAUAAUAAACGUGGUAAAUUAUCA